UGGGGCUUGCUGCAUUAUUUUCCACCUUCUACACCUGCACGCUCAAAUUAAUCUCAAGGUGCACCGUAGGAAUAAACCCUGAGAGAGGCACCAAGGAUGGACAGGGCAAAGUCUUCUCAAAGAAAACUGGUAAAUUCACGAGCUACAAGACAAGACUACAACCGUAUAUCCACAUGUAUCCACUCUGCUGAUGGGACUCAUGGACUUGAGUGGGACUUCAUUUAAAAUGUCAGCGGGCUACCAAGGCUGGAUUGAGAGAACUGGUGUCUUUGAGUGGGCCAUAAGUCAUUCACUAACUCACUCCCCCAUUAUCGCCCAAUACUUGGACUUCCACACUUAUCCAUGUGCCUUGUUAGAGCCUGAAUAUUCAUACUUGGACAUGAUGUCACAUGUCUGGUGGUGUUGGUGCUCAUUAUGAUAUAAGGCAAAAUAUUACUUGAGAGUUUUGUUUUAACUCUAUGAUAUAGCUCAACUCUCUGUAACUGUUCCACAAAGUAAGGUUAGUAAGAUUGACAGAUGUCUUCAGAAAUGCUAUUUCUUCUGAAAUUUGGUUUGUUAUCUGUGUCAGGUUUUUGUUGGCGCUGUGUUGAACUUCAUAUGAAAAUAAAAAGUA